rnacentral:rRNA from 1 species
GAUGAACGCUGGCGGCGUGCCUAAUACAUGCAAGUCGAGCGAACGGACGAGAAGCUUGCUUUUCUGAUGUUAGCGGCGGACGGGUGAGUAACACGUGGAUAACCUACCUAUAAGACUGGGAUAACUUCGGGAAACCGGAGCUAAUACCGGAUAAUAUUUUGAACCGCAUGGUUCAAAAGUGAAAGACGGUCUUGCUGUCACUUAUAGAUGGAUCCGCGCUGCAUUGGCUAGUUGGUAAGGUAACGGCUUACCAAGGCAACGAUGCAUAGCCGACCUGAGAGGGUGAUCGGCCACACUGGAACUGAGGCACGGUCCAGACUCCUACGGGAGGCAGCAGUAGGGAAUCUUCCGCAAUGGGCGAAAGCCUGACGGAGCAACGCCGCGUGAGUGAUGAAGGUCUUCGGAUCGUAAAACUCUGUUAUUAGGGAAGAACAUAUGUGUAAGUAACUGUGCACAUCUUGACGGUACCUAAUCAGAAAGCCACGGCUAACUACGUG